rnacentral:rRNA from 1 species
GGGCCCGCACAAGCGGUGGAGCAUGUGGUUUAAUUCGAUGAUACGCGAGGAACCUUACCAGGGCUUAAAUGCAGAACGACAGAGGUGGAAACACCUCCUUCUUCGGACGGUCUGCAAGGUGCUGCAUGGUUGUCGUCAGCUCGUGCUGUGAAGUGUCGGGUUAAGUCCCAUAACGAGCGCAACCCCUAUUUCUAGUUGCCAGCGGUUCGGCCGGGGACUCUAGAGAAACUGCCAGCGUAAGCUGUGAGGAAGGUGGGGAUGACGUCAAAUCAUCACGGCCCUUACGUCCUGGGCUACACACGUGCUACAAUGGUAGGGACAGAGAGUUGCCAACCCGCGAGGGUGAGCUAAUCUUCAAACCCUAUCUCAGUUCGGAUUGGAGUCUGCAACUCGACUCCAUGAAGUCGGAAUCGCUAGUAAUCGU